UUUAAUUGAAUCAUACCGCUAGCAGAUGCUUAAUAAUCCAAACUUACACACAUACAUUUUAAAACAAAACCAAAAUGUCACUUGGCAAAAUUUAAACCAAUAAGAGUGGAAAGGUGAGAGAAAACAUACAUAUAUAAUCCAACUUGGAAGCAACACAUUGCCAAACUAAUAAGCAUGUAACUGAUCCUUGCCAUGAAUAAAUCACACUUCGGAGGUGAAACAAAAUGGACAAUUCCUAACGUGCUGUUUUUUUUUCUUUAAUAAAUAAAAAUAGCAUAGAUUUUGUCGAGAUACGACCAAACCUGCCUGCGAAAUGAUUUUAAGGCUGAUCUUACAUGAUUACAAAUGAGACAGCACAACAAAUGAGAAGAUGAACACUACAACAUCCUAAAUCACACUUUAUAAAAUUUGAAAAGGUGGAUAUUUCAGCAAGCGUGUACGGAGCGAUAUUUUCACAUUAUCAAUAAGCAAAAUUUCUCAAUUAACGCUGACGCUUAAAAAAAACCUUAUAUUUUUCGCAG
rnacentral:misc_RNA from 1 species